rnacentral:rRNA from 1 species
AACGUAGGUACCGAGCGUUAUCCGGAUUUACUGGGCGUAAAGCGUGUUCAGGCGGCCGCGCAAGUCGGGCAUGAAAUCUCUCGGCUCAACCGGGAGGGGUUGUCCGAUACUGCGUGGCUGGAGGGCAGUAGAGGGUGGUGGAAUUCCGGGUGUAGUGGUGAAAUGCGUAGAGAUCCGGAGAAACACCAGUGGCGAAAGCGGCCACCUGGACUGUACCUGACGCUCAAACACGAAAGCUAGGGGAGCGAACGGG